rnacentral:rRNA from 1 species
CCCACGCCGAAAGACCAAGGGUUCCUGCGCAACGUUAAUCGACGCAGGGUUAGUCGGUUCCUAAGGCGAGGCUGAAAAGCGUAGUCGAUGGGAAACAGGUUAAUAUUCCUGUACUUCUGGUUACUGCGAUGGAGGGACGGAGAAGGCUAGGCCAGCUUGGCGUUGGUUGUCCAAGUUUAAGGUGGUAGGCUGAAAUCUUAGGUAAAUCCGGGGUUUCAAGGCCGAGAGCUGAUGACGAGUCGUCUUUUAGAUGACGAAGUGGUUGAUGCCAUGCUUCCAAGAAAAGCUUCUAAGCUUCAGGUAAUCAGGAACCGUACCCCAAACCGACACAGGUGGUCGGGUAGAGAAUACCAAGGCGCUUGAGAGAACUCGGGUGAAGGAACUAGGCAAAAUGGCACCGUAACUUCGGGAGAAGGUGCGCCGGCUAGGGUGAAGGAUUUACUCCGUAAGCUCUGGCUGGUCGAAGAUACCAGGCCGCUGCGACUGUUUAUUAAAAACACAGCACUCUGCAAACACGAAAGUGGACGUAUAGGGUGUGACGCCUGCCCGGUGCCGGAAGGUUAAUUGAUGGGGUUAGCGCAAGCGAAGCUCUUGAUCGAAGCCCCGGUAAACGGCGGCCGUAACUAUAACGGUCCUAAGGUAGCGAAAUUCCUUGUCGGGUAAGUUCCGACCUGCACGAAUGGCGUAACGAUGGCGGCGCUGUCUCCACCCGAGACUCAGUGAAAUUGAAAUCGCUGUGAAGAUGCAGUGUAUCCGCGGCUAGACGGAAAGACCCCGUGAACCUUUACUGUAGCUUUGCACUGGACUUUGAGCCUGCUUGUGUAGGAUAGGUGGGAGGCUUUGAAGCGUGGACGCCAGUUCGCGUGGAGCCAUCCUUGAAAUACCACCCUGGCAUGCUUGAGGUUCUAACUCUGGUCCGUGAUCCGGAUCGAGGACAGUGUAUGGUGGGCAGUUUGACUGGGGCGGUCUCCUCCUAAAGAGUAACGGAGGAGUACGAAGGUGCGCUCAGACCGGUCGGAAAUCGGUCGCAGAGUAUAAAGGCAAAAGCGCGCUUGACUGCGAGACAGACACGUCGAGCAGGUACGAAAGUAGGUCUUAGUGAUCCGGUGGUUCUGUAUGGAAGGGCCAUCGCUCAACGGAUAAAAGGUACUCCGGGGAUAACAGGCUGAUACCGCCCAAGAGUUCAUAUCGACGGCGGUGUUUGGCACCUCGAUGUCGGCUCAUCACAUCCUGGGGCUGAAGCCGGUCCCAAGGGUAUGGCUGUUCGCCAUUUAAAGUGGUACGCGAGCUGGGUUUAGAACGUCGUGAGACAGUUCGGUCCCUAUCUGCCGUGGACGUUUGAGAUUUGAGAGGGGCUGCUCCUAGUACGAGAGGACCGGAGUGGACGAACCUCUGGUGUUCCGGUUGUCACGCCAGUGGCAUUGCCGGGUAGCUAUGUUCGGAAAAGAUAACCGCUGAAAGCAUCUAAGCGGGAAACUUGCCUCAAGAUGAGAUCUCACUGGGAACUUGAUUCCCCUGAAGGGCCGUCGAAGACUACGACGUUGAUAGGCUGGGUGUGUAAGCGUUGUGAGGCGUUGAGCUAACCAGUACUAAUUGCCCGUGAGGCUUGACCAU